rnacentral:rRNA from 1 species
AUUGAACGCUAGCGGCAUGCUUUACACAUGCAAGUCGAACGAGUGGCGGACGGGUGAGUAAUAUCUCGGAAAGUGCCCAGUAGCGGGGGAUAACUACUCGAAAGAGUGGCUAAUACCGCAUACAAUCGGAACGGCCGAUAUCGGAUUAGCUAGUUGGUGGGGUAAAGGCUCCCCAAGGCCACGAUCCGUAGCUGGUUUGAGAGGACGACCAGCCACACUGGAACGGAGACACGGCCCAGACUCCUACGGGAGGCAGCAGUGGGGAAUUUUGGACAAUGGGGGAAACCCUGAUACAGCCAUCCCGCGUGUAUGAGAAGGCCUUCGGGUUGUAAAGUACUUUUGGCAGAGAAGCGGUAUCUGCAGAAUAAGCACCGGCUAACUACGUGCCAGCAGCCGCGGUAAUUC